rnacentral:rRNA from 1 species
UACGGGGGGGGCAAGCGUUGUUCGGAAUUACUGGGCGUAAAGGGUUCGUAGGUGGCCAACUAAGUCAGACGUGAAAGCCCCCGGCUCAACUGGGGAGGGUCAUUCGAUACUGAUCGACUCGAAGGCAGGAGAGGGUAGUGGAAUUCCCGGUGUAGUGGUGAAAUGCGUAGAUAUCGGGAGGAACACCGGUGGCGAAGGCGGUUCUCUGGGCCUUACCUGACGCUGAGGAGCGAAAGCGUGGGGAGCGAACAGG